AUGGCCUUUAUAUUUUAUUAGCUAAUUGACUCUAGGAUCAUUGUUAUCCAUGAUUUUAGUAUGAUCUAUGUAUUUUGACUUAAUGUAUUCAGUCACAUUUUGAUAUAUAUAUUUUUUAUGCUUUGAAUUUCAAUGAAUAUCUUUGGAUUAAUGUUUAUGAAUGGGACUAAUUAAAAUAUUUUAACUAUAAGAUAUGAAAAAUGACUCA
rnacentral:lncRNA from 1 species